UCUCAGCAGAAGGAGGCACAUCCCGGAGGAAGCAGUGGCUCAGUGCCAACAUCUGCUGCAGGGAGGAAGGCGAUGCCAGGCACGGGCACAGGCACAGGAGAUGCAGCCAGCACCACAGCACCUGUUCCAGAUUCCCAGAAGGGCAUCGGAAGGGGUUGCCGUUGGGAAGCACGCUGUUUGCUGCAGUUAAUGGCAGAUGUGCUUUUUUUAAUACUUUCUUCAUAUUGUUCUGUGUUGCAAUCUGGUGCUUCUGGAAGAUAAUACAGAACGCCUCUGCAGCUUCACAAGACCGGCCAAACAGCUCAGUCAGGGAGAACAGGACCUGUCAUCUUGCAUGUCCGUGCCAGUGUCCAUUGUCCCUUCCACAGCUGCAUUACCCACUGAUGGGGGGGACAUGCUGCCACCACCCAGAACAGGACCCUCUGACUCCGAGAGUGCUGACCCUGAUGUCUGGCCAGGACUGAAGGUGGGCCCCUCCUGCCAGGGAAGGGCUUGAGCAACGCCUUGGUGCUUCAGCUCUGGUCCCUGGCUGCUACCACCAGCACUGGCAAAGCUGCUUGUCUGGGCACAGCCAGUGCUGGGCAGGCAGCAGCUGGGCAUCAGGCUGCUGAGACCAGCAGCCACUAUGU